rnacentral:rRNA from 1 species
CCACCUUAGAAGUUGAAUCAUGGCUCCAGGAUGAACGCUGGCGGGCGUGCUUUAACACAUGCAAGUCGAACGAUGAAGCCCAGCUUGCUGGGUGGAUUAGUGGCGAACGGGUGAGUAACACGUGAGUAACCUGCCCUUUAACUCUGGGAUAAGCCUGGGAAACUAGGUCUAAUACCGGAUAGGAGCGCCUACCGCAUGGUGGGUGUUGGAAAGAUUUAUCGGUUUUGGAUGGACUCGCGGCCUAUCAGCUUGUUGGUGAGGUAAUGGCUCACCAAGGCGACGACGGGUAGCCGGCCUGAGAGGGUGACCGGCCACACUGGGACUGAGACACGGCCCAGACUCCUACGGGAGGCAGCAGUGGGGAAUAUUGCACAAUGGGCGAAAGCCUGAUGCAGCGACGCCGCGUGAGGGAUGACGGCCUUCGGGUUGUAAACCUCUUUCAGUAGGGAAGAAGCGAAAGUGACGGUACCUGCAGAAGAAGCACCGGCUAACUACGUGCCAGCAGCCGCGGUAAUACGUAGGGUGCGAGCGUUAUCCGGAAUUAUUGGGCGUAAAGAGCUCGUAGGCGGUUUGUCGCGUCUGUCGUGAAAGUCCGGGGCUUAACCCCGGAUCUGCGGUGGGUACGGGCAGACUAGAGUGCAGUAGGGGAGACUGGAAUUCCUGGUGUAGCGGUGGAAUGCGCAGAUAUCAGGAGGAACACCGAUGGCGAAGGCAGGUCUCUGGGCUGUAACUGACGCUGAGGAGCGAAAGCAUGGGGAGCGAACAAUUAAGUGCCCCGCCUGGAGUGA